rnacentral:rRNA from 1 species
UGGUUGAUCCUGCCAGUAAUCCAUAUGCUUCUUUCAAAGAUUAAGCCAUGCAUGUCUAAGUACACCUUGAUACAGGGAAACCGCGAAUGGCUCAUUAAAUCAGCUAUGAUUCUUUGGAUAGUCUAGUCGUACUCGGAUAACUGUGGCAAUCCUAGAGCUAAUACGUGAACGAAGCUCCGACUCCCUUGGUCGGGGGGAAGAGCGCAUUUAUUAGACCAAGACCAAUACGGCGGUGACGGUAGCAGUCCUCGCGACUCGCUGCCGUACAGCACCUGACCGUUUGAAAUCUGUGGUGACUCUGGGUAAACGUAAUGCGGAUCGCACGGCUCGAGAGGAGCGGGCGAUGCAUCUUCGAAAUGUCUGCCCCAUCAACUAUCGAUGGUAGGCGAGUUGCCUACAAUGGUACUGACGGGUCACGGGGAAUCUGGGUUUGAUUCCGGAGAGGGAGCCUGUGAGACGGCUACCACAUCCACGGAGGGCAGCAGGCACGAAAAUUACCCACUCCCGGCGCGGGGAGGUAGUGACGAAGAUUAACAAUACUGGACUCGAUCGAGGACCAGUAAUUGGAAUGAAUGGUACUUGUAAAACCCUGCACGAGCAACUAUUGGAGGGCAAGUCUGGUGCCAGCAGCCGCGGUAAUUCCAGCUCCAAUAGCGUAUAUCAAAGUUGUUGCAGUUAAAAAGCUCGUAGUUGGAUCUGGGGUUAUUAAAGCAGGUGACCGGCGGUGUCGACUUCAAAAUUGGAGGAGACCACUGUUGGGCCUGGCCUAUCGAAGCUGGUUCGACUCGUGUGUAGUCGCAAUGUUUUAUCCGUGCCCCGAGUGAGGUGUUCCCCGACGAAGGUCACGGACGCCGUCGACGGCUUCGGCGGCUCGGACGAGCGCGGCGCUGGUGAGAGGGGUCUCGGCGGUGAGGCGGAAAUCGCGUCGGCAUUAAACGUUUCCCGGUCCCGAAGGGGCCAGGCGUUUCUCUCGUGCUCCCUGUAUGCGGUAAGCGAGGUCGGCGGAGGUAGACGAGCGUCGGGACAAGGUCCGACGAGGGACAUCGUCGUAGUUGUCGGUCGUCCGCGACCGUCGGCGACGUGCGAGUGUACCUUUCCGAAGGACCCAGCGACGGAAGUGCCUCUGUCGGACUGGGCGGUCCGUUGGGAGUCUCGGGGGACGCGGAAGCUCUCAAGGUCGGGAGAUUCUGAAACGCCUUCGCGAGGACCUUGCGGAUCGGCUGGGCUCGCUCGAAUCUCUGCCGCGCGAACUCCUCGUGCCGUCGACCGUCUUCGGUGCUCCACGACCAUGAUCGUCUGCGGAAAAAGCCUCGGUGGGAAUAUACCGCGGAAAAUGUCUCUCGAUGCUCUUGACCGGGUGCGAGGGAAACCGGCCCGAAUGUUACCGUGAUUAAAUUAGGGUGUUCAAAGCAGGCGUUGAAGCCUGUAUAAUGAAGCAUGGAAUAACGAAAGAGGACCUUGGUCCCAUUUCUGUUGGUCUGGCGGACUCGGCGAGGUAAUGAUUAAAAGGGACAGAUCGGGGGCAUACGUAUCGCGGCGUUAGAGGUGAAAUUCUUGGAUCGCUGCGCGACGCUCGAUAGCGAAAGCAUGUGCCAAGCAUGUUUUCAUUAGUCAAGAACGAAAGUCGGAGUAGCGAAGACGAUCAGAUACCGUCCUAGUUCUGACCUUAAACGAUGCCUUCUGGCAAUGGGGUAGAGUUAUACCCAAGGACACACUCUGAAGCCUCCGGGAAACCAAAGGUUUCCGGUUCUGGGGGAAGUAUGGUUGCAAAGUUGAAACUUAAAGGAAUUGACGGAAGGGCACCACCAGGAGUGGAGCCUGCGGCUUAAUUUGACUCAACACAGGAAAACUUACGAGGUCCGGACACUGUAAGGAUUGACAGCUUGAAAGCCCUUUCUUGAUUCGGUGGGUGGUGGUGCAUGGCCGUUCUUAGUUGGUGGAGCGAUUUGUCUGGUUAAUUCCGGUAACGAACGAGACUCUGGCCGGCUAAUUACGUUCGCCGUCGACCGUGAGGUCGACGGGGAUAACUUCUUAGAGGGACGAGUGGCGUGGAGUCACGCUAGACGGGGCGAUAACAGGUCUGUGAUGCCCUUAGAUGUCCGCGGCCGCACGCGCGCUACACUGAAAGAAUCAACUCGUAUCCUCGCUCCUGGCCCGGAAGGGUGGGGCAAACGGUUGAACCUCUUUCGUGAUUGGAAUUGGGAUUUGCAAUGGUGUCUCAUGAACGUGGAAUUCCCAGUAAUUGCGAGUCAUUAGCUCGCGUCGAUUACGUCCCUGCCCUUUGUACACACCGCCCGUCGCUACUACCGAUCGGAUGCUUUAGUGAGAUCCUUGGAUCGGACUGCGUGCACGUUCGAGGUACGCGCCGAGAAGAGGCUCGAACUUGAUCAUCUAGAGGAAGUAAAAGUCGUAAC